UUCAGUUAACAUCAGUUAGUUGUUUUAAACGUUUACCUUUCAUCAUAAAACUGUUCGGACUCGUCGUGUUGGUGAUGGCAGUGCUGGCCCUGCUGGGCGGCGCUAGUGCCAACCCCAACCCUAAGGGCAUCGGUGGCGCCAUCAGGAAGGGCGGGAAAAUAAUUAAACACGGUCUCGGUGUGAUCGGUGUCGUCGGCACCGGCCACGAAAUCUAUCAGCAGAACCACAACUAGGAGACGUCCACCAGAUGUCAGGCUGCUUACACCUUACAGCUAACCACCGCUGCAGUAUUAUUCAUUCCAAUAGAUUGUUAUAGUAAAAUAUUGUUAUCCUGUUACCAUGUAUUUAAUAAACUGUCGAUAUUA